rnacentral:rRNA from 1 species
GUCCUACGGGACGCAGCAGUGAGGGAUAUUGGUCAAUGGGGGAAACCCUGAACCAGCAACGCCGCGUGAGGGAAGACGGUUUUCGGAUUGUAAACCUCUGUCCUCUGUGAAGAUAAUGACGGUAGCAGAGGAGGAAGCUCCGGCUAACUACGUGCCAGCAGCCGCGGUAAUACGUAGGGGGCAAGCGUUAUCCGGAUUUACUGGGUGUAAAGGGAGCGUAGACGGCUGUGCAAGUCUGAAGUGAAAGCCCGUGGCUCAACCGCGGAACUGCUUUGGAAACUGUAUAGCUUGAGUACUGGAGAGGC